rnacentral:rRNA from 1 species
UACAGAGGUCUCAAGCGUUUGUUCGGAUUCAUUGGGCGUAAAGGGUGUGUAGGUGGCGCCGUAAGUCGGGUGUGAAAUUUCGGAGCUUAACUCCGAAACUGCAUUCGAUACUGCGGUGCUUGAGGACUGGAGAGGAGACUGGAAUUCAUGGUGUAGCAGUGAAAUGCGUAGAGAUCAUGAGGAAGACCAGUGGCGAAGGCGGGGUCUCUGGGACAAGUU